rnacentral:rRNA from 1 species
CGGUGCACCAGAAGCUUGCUCUCUAGCUGACGAGCGGCGGACGGGUGAGUAAUGUCUGGGAAACUGCCUGAUGGAGGGGGAUAACUACUGGAAACGGUAGCUAAUACCGCAUAAACGUCUUCGGACACAAAGUGGGGGACCUUCGGGCCUCAUGCCAUCAGAUGUGCCCAGAUGGGAUUAGCUAGUAGGUGGGGUAAUGGCUCACCUAGGCGACGAUCCCUAGCUGGUCUGAGAGGAUGACCAGCCACACUGGAACUGAGACACGGUCCAUACUCCUACGGGAGGCAGCAGUGGGGAAUAUUGCACAGUGGGCGCAAGCCUGAUGCAGCCAUGCCGCGUGUGUGAAGAAGGCCUUCGGGUUGUAAAGCACUUUCAGCGAGGAGGAAGGGAAUCGUGUUAAUACCUUUGUUCAUUGACGUUACUCGCACAAUAAGCACCGGCUAACUCCGUGCCAGCAGCCGCGGUAAUACGGAGGGUGCAAGCGUUAAUCGGAAUUACUGGGCGUAAAGCGCACGCAGGCGGUUUGUUAAGUCAGAUGUGAAAUCCCCGCGCUUAACGUGGGAACUGCAUUUGAAACUGGCAAGCUUGAGUCUUGUACAGGGGGGUAGAAUUCCACGUGUAGCGGUGAAAUGCGUAGAGAUCUGGAGGAAUACCGGUGGCGAAGGCGGCCCCCUGGACGAAGACUGACGCUCAGGUGCUAAAGCGUGGGGAGCAAACAGGAUUAUAUACCCUGGUAGUCCACGCUGUAUACGAUGUCCACUUGGAGGUUGUGCCCUUGAGACGUGACUUCCGGAGCUAACGCGUUAAGUCGACCGCCUGGGGAGUACG